GAGUUCAGUUAGUUAUCUUAGUUAAGUUCAAUUUCUACAUUUUAGUUAACUUAAAUUAAGCUCAAUUUUUAUUUUUGGUUCAGUUCAAUAAAACAGAAAUUGGGGGUUCAGAUAUGGCACCGAGAUAGGUUCAAAAAAAUGGGGGCAAUAACAACGGCAGUAACAACAUCGAAGAGCUGGAGAUGAGCAAGUUAGGUACUCGCAAUGAUACGCCGUCCCACGCUGGCGUGUGGGUAGAGCGUCGGUGUGGUGGGGUGAGGAGAGAAGUUGGUGGUGGCAGAGGUGAGGGGAACCAGCGGCAUAGUGGUAGCAGCGGGAAGGGGGCGGUGGUGGAGGGACGGAGUGUCGCUCUGCAUGUUGGAGAGUAAACUGUAGUAGCACACCUCUGCCUCGCCGCCAACGCGCAUCCCCACCACUGUCGCCAACCUCACGCGCCGGCCUGCAUCCCCUCCCCACUCAUGGACGUCAAGUUCAGGUUGUAGCAAAAACAAGAUGCACAAGUUCAUCUUUUGUAUGCUUUUCAGUUCAUCUACUUCCGAUGGUGAGUCCGAUUUCCUUUGUGUUUCCAUGUUCAUAUAACAGAAGCAAGUGCUUGUGGUUAUGCUUCAGAAUGAGCACCGUACUUUCACUUGGAUAACAUGAAAAUAGGAUGCACCGUGGAUGUGCUCAGCAUAAAACAGGAUGAAGUUCAUGCUGCAUACGCCUUUCCUUCUCCGUUGUUUCACUCUUAAAAACACGUGUAUGUGUGGCUGCUUAUUGCUUCUUGCUGCCACUAUUUUUUGUAAAUGAUUUUGCAUGUGCACUCUAGGAGUGUUUUUGUUUCUGUAGGUCAGCUGCUCAACAUUCUUGUACCGCUCAGUACAUGUAUUACUACUGGGAAGGUUCAAAAAUCAGAACUCAACAAGUUCAACAUGGUGUAUGCCCCCACAUGAGAUCAUCGAGAGGGUGCACCACGGCGUCAUGGACUACAUCAAGCACGCGCUCACCCUCUUCACCGACUUUGCCGCCAUCCUCAUCAUCAUGAACGCAGACGACAAUUCCGAGGACAAGAAGAAGAGGAGGAGGAGGUCCUGAGAGUGUCAUAUGUGCAUCUAUUUUUUUGUUUCAAAAGUAGAAGCGGAAGAUGUAGAGGGUGGACUACUCAGGGCGAUUGCUGCUGAUGUUGUGUUGUGUUAGGUCAGCAAGUAGUGCUAAAAUUAUUUUGCAGGAAGAGAAGGCAGUGAGAAGAUGUUCCAGGAACUGAGGCUAUUCCAAGGAACAAGACCGGUAACAACUAGCGCAAAGGAGACUAUGUCUAGAGGUGGCGCU